GCGGAAUCCUGAAGGCAGCACGCCGCGUGAGUGAUGAAGGUCUUCGGAUUGUAAGCUUUGUUCUUGGGGAGAUAAUUACGGUACCAAGGAGCGUCUGGGAUAACUACGUGCAGAAACCGCGGCUUACUACGUUGGCAAGCGUUGUCCGGAUUUACUGGGCGAAAAGGGUGCGUAGGCGGAUAUUUAAGUGAGAUGUGAAAACCCCGGGCUCAACCUGAUGUACUGCAUUUCAAACUGGCCUCUAGAGUGCAGGAGAGGUGGUGGAAUUCCUAGUGUAGCGGUGAAAUGCGUUCAGAUUAGGAAGAACAUCAGUGGCGAAGGCGACUUUCUGGCCUGUAACUGACGCUGAGGCACGAAAGCGUGGGUAGCAAACAGGAUUAGAUACCCUGGUAGUCCACGCCGUAAACGAUGAUUACUAGGUGUGGGGGGUAUCAACCCCUUCUGUGCCGCAGUAAACACAUUAAUUAUUCCCCGGGGGAAGUACAUUCGCAAUUUUACAAUUCAA
rnacentral:rRNA from 1 species